rnacentral:sRNA from 1 species
AUUUUCUGAAUCUUGGUUAUUCUGCUCGUUCUCCAUAUUGGUU